rnacentral:rRNA from 1 species
AGUAACACGUGAGCAAUCUGCCUUUCAGAGGGGGAUACCGAUUGGAAACGAUCGUUAAUACCGCAUAACAUAAUUGAACCGCAUGAUUUGAUUAUCAAAGAUUUAUCGCUGAAAGAUGAGCUCGCGUCUGAUUAGCUAGUUGGUAAGGUAACGGCUUACCAAGGCGACGAUCAGUAGCCGGACUGAGAGGUUGAUCGGCCACAUUGGGACUGAGACACGGCCCAGACUCC